ensembl:lncRNA
ACCCCUAUCCAGAGCAGAGUGAAGACUCCGGGCAAUAUUUUUAGAAAAGGAAAACCUGAAAAACAAGACACCUGUCACUUGUGGAAUGGUGGUGAUGUGAUCCCAUUGUCUCUAAGAUCACGUGACAACAUUUUAUGAAAGGGAAGACAGCUGGGUGCAGUUGACUUCUUCUUGUCUGUUUCGUAGUGUGCAGAUAGCUGCUACAGUGUUCACAGUUUACAUGUUUGGUGUACAGUCACCAUGAAAAUUGCUAUUUUUGUGCUGUUUGUGUGCCUUCUUCUUCCUGUGCAGCCUGAAGAGAUAGAUCACUACACCUACUGUGAGACUUGUUUAACAGUGGCACAAGAGCUUGAGAAAUCCAUCAAGGAAGCCCCAGUUAAGAGCAGAAACACAGUUGUUAAACGCCUCAUCAGUGGGGCGUUGUGUGAGAAACCUCUGCCUCACAGUCACCAUGUCUCUAAGGACAAACUGACAUCAGCCUGCAGACACUUGUUAGAGUCUCACCGUGGCCAGUUCUAUGAAGCUCUGGUGAACAAAGAGCCGAAGAAUCUGGAUAUAGCUCUGUGUUAUGAGCAGUCCAACUCAUGUGUGGGGGUUAAACGCCAGACUUUUGAGGAUUCUAAAGGCGCUUUUACUGAAAGUGACAUUGAUGCUUUACUUCGGGACAACAAGGAAAAUGUUCGCAUUGCUCAGCCGAUACAUUCAGGUUCCCCUGUGCACACAGGAGAUGAACUCUGAGAAUUUCAGCAUCAUUUACUGUUUACUACUGUAAAUUCUGGACAUCAGUAAAAUAAAUAAAUCACUAAAAAAACAUAAACCAAUAAUUUUGUCUUUAAAUUAUACCUUAUGCUGUGUUGAGUUGUUACUUUUCUAAAGAAUUUAUUCAGCCUCAGAUAAGGAGUGUAUAUUCAUUAAUGAACAAAUUAUAUAAAAUUGAUAAAGGGGAAGUUUAU